CUCCUGGGUGUAGGAGGCUGCAGCCGCGCUGUGCCCAAGCGCGCAGGGUCCUGGGCAGGCGGUGUCACCUCCCGGCGUGCCCUGGCAGGGCUCAGCCUGGCCCGGGCCAGUUCUCAGCUCACCCUCUGCUCUUCCCCUGCAGGUGGCCCUGGCCGGAGGCUGGCGCUGCCCGGGAGCCGGUGCGGGUCGUGGGCUCCCACAUGUGUGUGCACGGGUGAUUGCUGCAAAACUCGUGUCUCUUGCUUGUCUCCCAGAUGGUGACAUUUGCCUGCAGCCCUUCCUGCUGACAGUUACCUGUCAGAUUUUGGCUACAGAAGAGCGAGGAGGUGGUGGUGGCACAGGCCCUCUCUGUGAUGCUGCUUGGAGUGGCAGGGAGGGAGCCUGCAGGAUGCCGCCAACCAUUCCCUCGACCCCAGUAAGAACGAAGCUGGCAAGGAACAACCACUGCCUUUGUCAUGCCUCUUGUGAACCGCCAUUCAGCCAGGGAAACAAUGCUUAAGCUGUGCUCCGUUUGCUUUGUAACUUCUUCCCUGCUGUGUGUUGUUCACAGCAAAACCCAGGUCCCUGCGAGGGGAUGCAGGCAAGUGGGUGAGCUGGGCAGGACACUGCACACUGCUGUCAUAUUCCGCAACACUUGGUGACCGCAUCUGAAUGAAGAGAAAUUGGGGUAAUGUUUGCUAAGCUGCUCUGCUGGACAGAAUUAAGUCCAGCAUUUGUCAGUGCAAUUCGUCAUCCAAGUAUCUGCACAGAUCCACCACAGCUCCUGGUGUCUCAGGUGUCAGCUGCGGCACGGAAAAUCCUCUUUCAUCACUCGUGUCGGAUUCCAGAUGAAAACUCAUUAAAGGCAACCAUUUCCACCACCCCGUGCUAUUGCCAGGCACUCACCUGUCACUUGCAUCCUAUUACUGCAAGCAUGGGAUAAUUUGUACCAAAGUUUGGGAUCAAAAUAAAUGGUUUUAAACCAGCUAAUUCUGUAGCUCUUCCUUUGUGUCCAGUGCAGCCUCACCCGCCUGUGCCUUGCUGUCUGUCACUGAUGGUAGUGGCACCUGCUGCAUCUCUGAGUGUUGCCUGCUCUGGGAAAUGGCCUUGCCCAACCACCAAUCCCAAAUCCACUCCCUGCCAUCACCAGGACAUUGGCAUCGAUUUGUAUGUCCAGUGUGAUGAUAAGCCAGGCUGCCCAGCCUUUUCUACUCAUCUUCUGCACAUGCUUGGGGCUGAACCAGACACCAGAAGCUAAACUCAUCGUGUUGAGAAUGGAGCUGCAUCCACUCUGCUCUGCCACCUUUCAGCCCUGCUCUCACAGGGCUUCCCCAGCUCUGUCUGCCCGACGCCAUGGGUAACUUCCCAAAGCUGGAUCCUCAACUGCCUUCAUGUCUGCAGAGGCUUGUUAGUCAUUUCCCACUUAUAAACAAAUGUUUUGGAGACACUGGAGAAGCUGGGCCACCAAGGGGACAAAGCUCCAUUGCUUUUAGAGUAGCUCAUUCAUCACUGAGUUUUAUUGUGCAGCAGUUCAGCCACUGAUGAAUUGAAGCCACCCUCUGCUUGUGGUACAGGGAACAGGAAAUGUGCUUCUCAUGCAGGCCACUUUUUAAAUCUUCAGUUUGGUUUCCAUCUUAAAGGUGUUGCAGACGAGAUGGGUUUGUUAUGAACUUUUAUGGCUUUAUUUUACUAUUUAGAAAAAGACUUUUCAUUUGCUUAUUUGUUUAAAACUUAUUUUUCCCCUUUCUUUGCAGCAAAGCCUGGGUUUGCUUCAUUGUUUUUCCACUGAUGAACCCAUACUGUUUCAAGACCUUUCCUUCUUCCUUACAUC